rnacentral:rRNA from 1 species
AUUGAACGCUGGCGGCAUGCCUAACACAUGCAAGUCGAACGGUAACAGCGGAAGCUUGCUUCCGGCUGACGAGUGGCGGACGGGUGAGUAAUGCAUAGGAAUCUGCCCCGAAGCGGGGGACAACUACCGGAAACGGUAGCUAAUACCGCAUAAUCUCUACGGAGGAAAGACUUCGGUCACUUUGGGAUGAGCCUAUGUCUGAUUAGCUUGUUGGUGGGGUAACGGCCUACCAAGGCGACGAUCAGUAGCUGGUCUGAGAGGACGAUCAGCCACACUGGGACUGAGACACGGCCCAGACUCCUACGGGAGGCAGCAGUGGGGAAUAUUGGACAAUGGGCGAAAGCCUGAUCCAGCAAUGCCGCGUGUGUGAAGAAGGCCUGCGGGUUGUAAAGCACUUUCAGCUGGGAAGAUAAUGACGGUACCAGCAGAAGAAGCACCGGCUAACUCCGUG